GAUGAACGCUGGCGGCGUGCCUAAUACAUGCAAGUCGAGCGAACAGACGAGGAGCUUGCUCCUCUGACGUUAGCGGCGGACGGGUGAGUAACACGUGGAUAACCUACCUAUAAGACUGGGAUAACUUCGGGAAACCGGAGCUAAUACCGGAUAAUAUAUUGAACCGCAUGGUUCAAUAGUUAAAGACGGUUUUGCUGUCACUUAUAGAUGGAUCCGCGCCGCAUUAGCUAGUUGGUAAGGUAACGGCUUACCAAGGCGACGAUGCGUAGCCGACCUGAGAGGGUGAUCGGCCACACUGGAACUGAGACACGGUCCAGACUCCUACGGGAGGCAGCAGUAGGGAAUCUUCCGCAAUGGGCGAAAGCCUGACGGAGCAACGCCGCGUGAGUGAUGAAGGUCUUCGGAUCGUAAAACUCUGUUAUUAGGGAAGAACAAAUGUGUAAGUAACUAUGCACGUCUUGACGGUACCUAAUCAGAAAGCCACGGCUAACUACGU
rnacentral:rRNA from 1 species